UACAGAGGUCCCGAGCGUUGUUCGGAUUCACUGGGCGUAAAGGGCGCGUAGGCGGCUUGUCAAGUCACUUGUGAAAUCUCUGGGCUUAACCCAGAACGGCCAAGUGAAACUGACAUGCUAGAGUGCAGAAGGGGCAAUCGGAAUUCUUGGUGUAGCGGUGAAAUGCGUAGAUAUCAAGAGGAACACCUGAGGUGAAGACGGGUUGCUGGGCUGACACUGACGCUGAGGCGCGAAAGCCAGGGGAGCAAACGGG
rnacentral:rRNA from 1 species